AAUUUAAAUUUAUUGGAUAUGUAAUAACAAAGCUUAAUCAGAUAUCAGUUAUGUAAUUCUUCUAUUUGUCCAGUAGCUUAAGUUUCUAUAGAGAAAAUGAGUUAAGACAAAUUUGAGUAGCAUUUCUUCUCUUAGAUAUACGAAAAGAAAAUUAAAGACCUCGCAGAUAGACUUAAAAGAAAGCCAGAAUGCUUGUCGUCAAUUGUAAAAUGUUUAUAAAAAAUACUUAAGAGAAUUUAAACAGUUUUAUUAGCAAUGAAAUAAACACACCUAAAAUAGUGUAAGUGAUUCAGCUAGUGCUUAAAAUAAUGCAUUUAUUAAACUUUCAUACUUAUCAUUAUGUAAUUUUAAUUGUUUUUUUAUAAUACAUAAUAGUACAAUUGAUGACAAAUAUAAUAAAGAAAAAUGCAAAAAUGAAUUAUCAAAAAAAGAACUAUAUGAAUCACAAUCGAUAAAUUCGGCUGAACUCAAGUGUGCAAAACCACCGGAAUAUGGACGGCGCUUUAAAGGAGUAGUUAAUGGUCUUUUUUCUUAAGAUUUUUCAAUAUGUCCGCAUAUCUUACACAUAAAUUAAUGUCUAUUAAAUAUCCACAAAUGUUGCCUACUCAUCAUCAUCAUUUGACAAGAUAACACAAGAGAAAAUAGAAGUUGUAAUAACUUUUCCGUAUGGAUACCAUGCUGGUUUUAACCAUGGUUUCAAUAUGGCAGGAUCAACAAACUUUGCAUCGCCCCGUAACUAAUAUACAUUUCAAACUACUUACAAUACACUCAAUUGUCUAGUUGGUAUCAUGAAACCCGGAAAUAUAGAUUAAAUAAAUGAUGGCAGUACAGCAGAUCACUCAAGGAAUGCUGAGACAUGAAUUCACAUUUCUACCACGUGGUACAGUUUCAACAUCCUAUGUUUAAAAUGGACGAAAAGAUACUAAAAAUAUUCAUGUUUUAAUUCAAUGUACAUAGAAUGGUUAUUAAAUAUAAUUAAUAGUAAAUCAAUAGUAGUGUAACAAAAAAUGGCAGUACAGCAGAUCACUCAAGGAAUGCUGAGACAUGUAUUUACAUUUCUACCAUAUGUGAAAGUUUCAACUGCCUAUGCUUAAAAUGGAUGCAUAUAUAACGAUAAUAUUCAUGGUUUUAUGCAUUGUACAUAGAAUGGUUAUUGAAUAUAAUUAAUAGAAAAUUAAUAGUAGUGUAACAA